rnacentral:lncRNA from 1 species
UUAAGAUCUAUGUGAGGUCUUGAGAAAAAUAUAAAUUUUACUUCUUUUCUUUAAAAAGAUUUUAACAGCGAUUCCACGUGUCUGUUUGCGUGCUCUCGAACUGAAUGCAAUACUGCCAGCAAUGUUUGCCCUUCUUAUUAUGUGAAACAAUUACACAAUAAAAUUUAGAAUAUUUUUACAUUACACACGUGUCUGUUUGCGUGCUCUAGACUGAAUGCAAUACUGUCAGCAAUGUUUGCCCUUCUUAUUAUGUGAAACAAUUACACCAUAAAAUUUAGAAUAUUUUUACAUUAUACACUAUCAUAAUUUUUAUUUGUUAAUUCAAACAUUUUAAAUGCAUUGUGACUUUAAGUCGUUGUUAUGUAAAAAUAUUAUGUAUCUUUUGAUAUUCUUCAGCAUGACUGAAGGUAUUAAAUAAAUUAUAGC